ACACACCUCAAGACAUUUGAAAACUAGAGUAUCUGAACACAAAUACCAAGAAGCUAUUAAAUCUACAUCAACAGCCUUAUGCAAACAUGCAACAGAAGAAAAACAUCAUUUUAAUUUUUCAGCAAAAGAUGUUAAAAUUUUACACUGCGAAAAAAACUUAAGAAAACGCCUAAUAUUGGAAAUGUUUUACAUUUUAAAUGAAAGAAAUUCAAUCAAUUUAAAAACUGAUGUUGAAAAACUUAGCGUCAUUUAUUUACAACUUAUUAACGAUCACUUUUAAAUAUCAAUAUUCUUAAAUAUUUCUUUUCACAAUACAACCUUAGAAUCCUUUCAUAUAUCAACUUUGGCCUUUUAUAUCUCUUCCUUAUGAAGUCACCUUUAAAUUGACAGAAUUUAUAACCUCACUUUUGAACACGUGAUGAAAAUAAUCAUGUGUUCAAGUAUAUAUUUUAUUAACUUAUUUAUUAAUUAAAUGUUUCAAAAAAAAUUUUAUAUUAAAUUAAAAAUAUUAUAAAAUGUUAUUAUUUAAAUAUUUCUUUAAAAUCUUUUAACUAUUUAUAUGAUGAAAACAAGACUACAUCAUUUUUUAUACAAAAACAUUUAAAAACUUUAUUUACUAACUAAUAUAUUUAUGAAAUUGUCGUCAUGUCAAAACAGUUAUUGAAAUUCUUUCUACGAAAGAUAACAUGUCAGAAAAAUCUUCAAGAAACAAAUUUAUAAUUAAUUUUCGCAUGAUUUAUAUCUGAUGAGGACACGAAAUCGUGUCGAAACGCGUCAUGUGAAAUUUUAUAUAUAUUGAUAAUUAUUAAAAAGCCAAUAGGCCAAAAAAAUU